GACGAACGCUGGCGGCGUGCUUAACACAUGCAAGUCGAACGGAAAGGCCCUGCUUUUGUGGGGUUCUCGAGUGGCGAACGGGUGAGUAACACGUGAGUAACCUGCCCUUGACUUUGGGAUAACUUCAGGAAACUGGGGCUAAUACCGGAUAGGAGCUCCUGCUGCAGGGUGGGGGUUGGAAAGUUUCGGCGGUUGGGGAUGGACUCGCGGCUUAUCAGCUUGUUGGUGGGGUAGUGGCUUACCAAGGCUUUGACGGGUAGCCGGCCUGAGAGGGUGACCGGCCACAUUGGGACUGAGAUACGGCCCAGACUCCUACGGGAGGCAGCAGUGGGGAAUAUUGCACAAUGGGCGGAAGCCUGAUGCAGCAACGCCGCGUGCGGGAUGACGGCCUUCGGGUUGUAAACCGCUUUCGCCUGUGACGAAGCGUGAGUGACGGUAAUGGGUAAAGAAGCACCGGCUAACUACGUG
rnacentral:rRNA from 1 species